CCUUCUCGUUCGUCCCCGUGGCUUCUGGAGUCUUCUAGAUGAUACAAAAUUGUGCGGCACAUUAAUAUCUCUAUGUAAUCCUGACAUGUGGGCCUUUCUUCCUUAUUUCCUGAUAACCCCCUGCAGAAAUAGACAAACACCAAAACUCGUGGAAUUCUGUCAGAUAAAACCCUAAGUCUAGAUGUUGAUUUCAUUUGGAUCCUUUUCUUUGUUUAUUUGAUAAUUAAAUUUGAAUACUUAAGGACCGUCAACAGACGCCAAUCCAAGAACCAAUGGUAACGACCGGCGCACUCCUUUCGUUAAGUACCUCUCGGAUGGCUUGGGAUUUCACGACAAAACAGAGA
rnacentral:lncRNA from 1 species